GGGUUGUGAGGUUAAGCGACUAAGCGUACACGGUGGAUGCCCUGGCAGUCAGAGGCGAUGAAGGACGUGCUAAUCUGCGAAAAGCGCCGGCGAGGUGAUAUGAACCUUUGACCCGGCGAUGUCCGAAUGGGGAAACCCAGUGUGUUCCGACACACUAUCGUUAACUGAAUACAUAGGUUAACGAGGCGAACCGGGGGAACUGAAACAUCUAAGUACCCCGAGGAAAAGAAAUCAACCGAGAUUCCCCCAGUAGCGGCGAGCGAACGGGGAGCAGCCCAGAGUCUGAAUCAGCUUGUGUGUUAGUGGAAGCGUCUGGAAAGUCCGGCGAUACAGGGUGAUAGCCCCGUACACGAAAGCACACUUGCUGUGAACUCGAAGAGUAGGGCGGGACACGUGGUAUCCUGUCUGAAUAUGGGGGGACCAUCCUCCAAGG
rnacentral:rRNA from 1 species